CAAAACAGAGCUUUCAAUCGACGAUUCCCGCUUCUUUGUUUGUGCUCUGGGUCUGCAACUUCGUCUUCGUGCUCACAGAAGAUUCGUGGCGUCGUGUGGUCUGCAACGUGGUCUUCGAUCUCACAGAAGCUUCUCAGCGUCGUGGUGCUCUGGUCUGAAGCUUGGGUCUUCAUGUGGGUCAUCUUCAAGCUGCUGUAAGAGACUGUAAGAUCUUCGUGUGGGUCUUCUUCUUCAUGGGGUUGGAUGAGCGAACGUGGAAUCAAUGGGCAUACAAUUUUGUCGUUACUGUAGCUUGGCACUCUUGGAGGUGUUUUGGUUUUAGCCUGUCGUUGGUAGUUUCAAAAUAACAAGAUGAUGAGUUGGAGCUGGGUCCUUUGGUAGGGUUUAUCAUCGGUUGUAUGUUUCCAAUCACCACGCUGUUUAACUGAAGAUGCAAUUUAGAUUGGAUGGAUCACAGCCAGUGCAGGAUGGGUUGGAUGGAACACAAUCGGCGCAAUGAGAACCAACACAAUUGAUGAGACUAUCAUUAUUUGUUUUAGACUUGUUUUUUGGAGAACUGAAUGCUGGAAACUUAAAUUGGAGAUUUCUGGAGAGUUGAUUUAUUUCUUUUAGUGAAAAUUGUAAAGCACUUGACGUGCAAGUUUAUGUGUUUUCUGGAGACUUGAUGAACUUGUUUUAGUGAAGAUUUCUGGAUACUUGAUUUUUGGAAAAGCACUA